rnacentral:rRNA from 1 species
ACGUAGGAGGCGAGCGUUAUCCGGAGUUACUGGGCGUAAAGCGCGUGUAGGUGGUUGGAUACGUCUGCUGUGAAAUGUCCCGGCUUAACCGGGAGGGUGCGGCAGAUACGGUCUGACUUGAGGGUGACAGAGGAGCGUAGAAUUCCGGGUGUAGUGGUGAAAUGCGUAGAGAUCCGGAGGAAUACCAAAGGCGUAGGCAGGUCACUGGACAGUUACUGACACUGAGGCACGAAGGCCAGGGGAGCAAACGGGA